rnacentral:rRNA from 1 species
UGGGGAAUAUUGCACAAUGUGCGCAAGCCUGAUGCAGCCAUGCUGCGUGUGUGAAGAAGGCCUUCGGGUUGUAAAGCACUUUCAGCGGGGAGGAAGGCGAUAAGGUUAAUAACCUUGUCGAUUGACGUUACCCGCAGAAGAAGCACCGGCUAACUCCGUGUCAGCAGCCGCGGUAAUACGGAGGGUGCAAGCGUUAAUCGGAAUUACUGGGCGUAAAGCGCACGCAGGCGGUCUGUCAAGUCGGAUGUGAAAUCCCCGGGCUCAACCUAGGAACUGCAUUCGAAACUGGCAGGCUAGAGUCUUGUAGAGGGGGGUAGAAUUCCAGGUGUAGCGGUGAAAUGCGUAGCGAUCUGGAGGAAUACCGGUGGCGAAGGCGACCCCCUGGACAAAGACUGACGCUCAGGUGCGAAAGCGUGGGGAGCAAACAGG